GUGAACGCUGGCGGUAGGCCUAACACAUGCAAGUCGAACGGCAGCACAGUAAGAGCUUGCUCUUACGGGUGGCGAGUGGCGGACGGGUGAGGAAUACAUCGGAAUCUACUUUUUCGUGGGGGAUAACGUAGGGAAACUUACGCUAAUACCGCAUACGACCUACGGGUGAAAGCAGGGGAUCUUCGGACCUUGCGCGAUUGAAUGAGCCGAUGUCGGAUUAGCUAGUUGGCGGGGUAAAGGCCCACCAAGGCGACGAUCCGUAGCUGGUCUGAGAGGAUGAUCAGCCACACUUGAGCUGAGACACGGUCCAGACUCCUACGGGAGGCAGCAGUGGGGAAUAUUGGACAAUGGGCGCAAGCCUGAUCCAGCCAUACCGCGUGGGUGAAGAAGGCCUUCGGGUUGUAAAGCCCUUUUGUUGGGAAAGAAAAGCAGCAGGUUAAUACCCCGCUGUUCUGACGGUACCCAAAGAAUAAGCACCGGCUAACUUCGU
rnacentral:rRNA from 1 species